rnacentral:rRNA from 1 species
GCGCGAAAACUUUACAAUGCUGGCAACAGCGAUAAGGGAACCUCGAGUGCCAGGUUACAAAUCUGGCUGUCGAGAUGCCUAAAAAGCAUUUCAUAGCAAGGGCCGGGCAAGACCGGUGCCAGCCGCCGCGGUAACACCGGCGGCUCGAGUGGUAACCGUUAUUAUUGGGUCUAAAGGGUCUGUAGCCGGCCGGAUAAGUCUCUUGAGGAAUCUGGCAGCUUAACUGUCAGGCUUUCAGGAGAUACUGUCUGGCUCGAGGCCGGGAGAGGUGAGAGGUACUUCAGGGGUAGGGGUGAAAUCUUGUAAUCCUUGAAGGACCACCAGUGGCGAAGGCGUCUCACCAGAACGGACCUGACGGCAAGGGACGAAAGCUAGGGGCACGAACCG